UACGGAGGGGGCUAGCGUUGUUCGGAAUUACUGGGCGUAAAGCGCGCGUAGGCGGCUUUGUAAGUCAGAGGUGAAAGCCUGGAGCUCAACUCCAGAACUGCCUUUGAAACUACAUCGCUAGAAUCAUGGAGAGGUUAGUGGAAUUCCGAGUGUAGAGGUGAAAUUCGUAGAUAUUCGGAAGAACACCAGUGGCGAAGGCGACUAACUGGACAUGUAUUGACGCUGAGGCGCGAUAGCGUGGGGAGCAAACGGG
rnacentral:rRNA from 1 species